rnacentral:rRNA from 1 species
AGAGUUUGAUCAUGGCUCAGAUUGAACGCUGGCGGCAGGCCUAACACAUGCAAGUCGAGCGGUAGCACAGAGAGCUUGCUCUCGGGUGACGAGCGGCGGACGGGUGAGUAAUGUCUGGGAAACUGCCUGAUGGAGGGGGAUAACUACUGGAAACGGUAGCUAAUACCGCAUAACGUCGCAAGACCAAAGAGGGGGACCUUCGGGCCUCUUGCCAUCAGAUGUGCCCAGAUGGGAUUAGCUAGUAGGUGGGGUAACGGCUCACCUAGGCGACGAUCCCUAGCUGGUCUGAGAGGAUGACCAGCCACACUGGAACUGAGACACGGUCCAGACUCCUACGGGAGGCAGCAGUGGGGAAUAUUGCACAAUGGGCGCAAGCCUGAUGCAGCCAUGCCGCGUGUAUGAAGAAGGCCUUCGGGUUGUAAAGUACUUUCAGCGGGGAGGAAGGUGUUGUGGUUAAUAACCACAGCAAUUGACGUUACCCGCAGAAGAAGCACCGGCUAACUCCGUGCCAGCAGCCGCGGUAAUACGGAGGGUGCAAGCGUUAAUCGGAAUUACUGGGCGUAAAGCGCACGCAGGCGGUCUGUCAAGUCGGAUGUGAAAUCCCCGGGCUCAACCUGGGAACUGCAUUCGAAACUGGCAGGCUAGAGUCUUGUAGAGGGGGGUAGAAUUCUACCCCGGUAGUCCACGCCGUAAACGAUGUCGACUUGGAGGUUGUGCCCUUGAGGCGUGGCUUCCGGAGCUAACGCGUUAAGUCGACCGCCUGGGGAGUACGGCCGCAAGGUUAAAACUCAAAUGAAUUGACGGGGGCCCGCACAAGCGGUGGAGCAUGUGGUUUAAUUCGAUGCAACGCGAAGAACCUUACCUACUCUUGACAUCCAGAGAACCUUCCAGAGAUGGAUUGGUGCCUUCGGGAACUCUGAGACAGGUGCUGCAUGGCUGUCGUCAGCUCGUGUUGUGAAAUGUUGGGUUAAGUCCCGCAACGAGCGCAACCCUUAUCCUUUGUUGCCAGCGGUUCGGCCGGGAACUCAAAGGAGACUGCCAGUGAUAAACUGGAGGAAGGUGGGGAUGACGUCAAGUCAUCAUGGCCCUUACGAGUAGGGCUACACACGUGCUACAAUGGCGCAUACAAAGAGAAGCGACCUCGCGAGAGCAAGCGGACCUCAUAAAGUGCGUCGUAGUCCGGAUUGGAGUCUGCAACUCGACUCCAUGAAGUCGGAAUCGCUAGUAAUCGUAGAUCAGAAUGCUACGGUGAAUACGUUCCCGGGCCUUGUACACACCGCCCGUCACACCAUGGGAGUGGGUUGCAAAAGAAGUAGGUAGCUUAACCUUCGGGAGGGCGCUUACCACUUUGUGAUUCAUGACUGGGGUGAAGUCGUAACAAGGUA